rnacentral:lncRNA from 1 species
GAGGCCGGGCCUAAGAGGAGAAUAAUGGCCCAAAACCCAUCAAGCCCUCCUUAGACUCAGCAUUUCAGGUCUCGACUCAGACACGCCGAGCCGGAUGGAUUACCCGCGAGCCCAGACCCAGCAGAAAGAAGUCCAGUCUGGUGAUGUGAUGUGAGGGAGAGGAGCUGGUCCAGUCACUUCACAGCCCAGCCCGCACGCGCGCCGGGGGAAUUAAAUGGCUGUCUGGUAUGGAGAGGGGUCUGACACAUCCGUACGUACGGGCCUGAGUGACAUAGACAGGUAGCACAAUAGCAGAGAGGCGGGAGACGUCAGGAAC